UACGAAGGGGGCUAGCGUUGCUCGGAAUCACUGGGCGUAAAGGGCGCGUAGGCGGACUCUUAAGUCGGGGGUGAAAGCCCAGGGCUCAACCCUGGAAUUGCCUUCGAUACUGAGAGUCUUGAGUUCGGAAGAGGUUGGUGGAACUGCGAGUGUAGAGGUGAAAUUCGUAGAUAUUCGCAAGAACACCAGUGGCGAAGGCGGCCAACUGGUCCGAUACUGACGCUGAGACGCGAAAAGCGUGGGGGAGCAAACAGG
rnacentral:rRNA from 1 species